rnacentral:rRNA from 2 species
ACAACGCGACCCCAGUCAGG